UUCUGUGUUCACUGGGAAGUGGGUCAGUCAAUUCAGAACUGGCCUCCUGCAGCAAAUCAAGGGCUCCAUGACACUGGACAAAACAGACUGCAAGCCCAUCCUGACGAGGCUUCUGUUGCAGAUGGGAAAGGCAGAAAACCAACCAAAUGCCGAGGGUGAGUCGAGGGCACCAUGUCUCUGAAGCAGAGUCUUCUCCAGCCAUGGAGCCCCCUACAGAGAAGUUCCAGAAGGCUUCGUCCAUCCUGCACACAUGUGCCAAAGCGGCUGCUACAAGAUAAACUUAAGAGUCCCCAUCUCUGUACUUUUUUGACGUUCAGAGGAGAAAGCAAAAGUGUGGCCGUUUCCAACGCAGCCCCUCUCGGGAGUGGGAGUCAGUUACAGCGUAUUUAG
rnacentral:lncRNA from 1 species